rnacentral:rRNA from 1 species
GACGAACGCUGGCGGCGUGCUUAACACAUGCAAGUCGAACGGAAAGGCCCUGCUUUUGUGGGGUGCUCGAGUGGCGAACGGGUGAGUAACACGUGAGUAACCUGCCCUUGACUUUGGGAUAACUUCAGGAAACUGGGGCUAAUACCGGAUAGGAGCUCCUGCUGCAUGGUGGGGGUUGGAAAGUUUCGGCGGUUGGGGAUGGACUCGCGGCUUAUCAGCUUGUUGGUGGGGUAGUGGCUUACCAAGGCUUUGACGGGUAGCCGGCCUGAGAGGGUGACCGGCCACAUUGGGACUGAGAUACGGCCCAGACUCCUACGGGAGGCCGCAGUGGGGAAUAUUGCACAAUGGGCGGAAGCCUGAUGCAGCAACGCCGCGUGCGGGAUGACGGCCUUCGGGUUGUAAACCGCUUUCGCCUGUGACGAAGCGUGAGUGACGGUAAUGGGUAACGAAGCACCGGCUAACUACGUG